rnacentral:rRNA from 1 species
CCUACGGGAGGCAGCAGUAAGGAAUAUUGGACAAUGGACGCAAGUCUGAUCCAGCCAUGCCGCGUGAAGGAUUAAGGCCCUCUGGGUUGUAAACUUCUUUUAUAGGGGACGAAAAAAGGGCUUUCUAGCUCGUCUGACGGUACCCUAUGAAUAAGCACCGGCUAACUCCGUGCCAGCAGCCGCGGUAAUACGGAGGGUGCAAGCGUUAUCCGGAUUCACUGGGUUUAAAGGGUGCGUAGGCGGGCAGUUAAGUCAGUGGUGAAAUCUUCGAGCUCAACUCGGAAACUGCCAUUGAUACUAUCUGUCUUGAAUACUGUGGAGGUGAGCGGAAUAUGUCAUGUAGCGGUGAAAUGCUUAGAUAUGACAUAGAACACCGAUUGCGAAGGCAGCUCGCUACACAAAUAUUGACGCUGAGGCACGAAAGCGUGGGGAUCAAACAGGAUUAGAUACCCUGGUAGUCCACGCCCUAAACUAUGGAUACUCGACAUUUGCGAUACACAGUAAGUGUCUGAGCGAAAGCAUUAAGUAUCCCACCUGGGAAGUACGACCGCAAGGUUGAAACUCAAAGGAAUUGACGG